rnacentral:rRNA from 1 species
GUCCACGCCGUAACGAUGAGUGCUAGGCGCCGGAGGAUUGACCCCGUCGGUGCCGCAGCUAACGCGUUAAGCACUCCGCCUGGGGAGUACGGUCGCAAGACUAAACUCAAGGAAUUGACGGGGCCCGCACAAGCGGUGGAGCAUGUGGUUUAAUUCGACGCUACGCGCAGAACCUUACCUGGGUUAAAUCCACCAGAACCUGGCCCAAAAGCCGGGGUGCCCUUCGGGGAAUUGGUGCGAAGGUGCUGCAUGGCUGUCGU